rnacentral:tRNA from 1 species
GGGUAGAGCAGUCUGGUAGCUCGUCGGGCUCAUAACCCGAAGGUCGCAGGUUCGAAUCCUGCCCCCG